AACGAACAUUUCGAAUUAUGUUGUGGUUUUGCCUCGAAUUGUCAAAAACGUUAGAUUAUGAGAAAGGUAAAAACAAAUAAACUCCGGGCAAAACAAUGUCGCCGCUACGCGCAACCGUCGAACAACGACGAAUUUAAAUGUUCCGGUUCUCCUCUAACCAAUAUAAAUAUACGGACGCUAUCGCAAGCGAGAACAGAAGAUUAUAAGAGUUUAAGGUAAUUAAUUGCGAAUUAUCGAACAAUCUAUAUCGAGAUUGACGAGUAUCUCCGCGACGAAGACUAACGAGAUUUGUAUUGUGUCAGGGAGUCUGUACACGUAUAUUUAUUCAUUUUAAAUAUACUUGACGAACGGCUACGAUUUUAUUUUGGUUUUCCUUAUUAAUCAAUACUCUACACGACCAAUCCUCCACAGUAGAAAUCCUUUAAACGAAAAUCUCACGAACGUCACGACUUCCUCUUAUUCGCCAGUACUAAUUUUUCCCCAAUUUCUUAGGUGUGAAAAGGGCAGUAACAAAUGUUAUAUGGGUUCAGUUAGUCAACAGAUUCGCUACGAGGAAUCUCUGCAAGAUUGAGUAUCGAAAUCACGCGCAUCAUCGACUUCAGGAACUAUGCGGUGGAAGUUAUAUGGUAGUGGACAUAGUGGACAAAGUGGACAUGGUCUAAUUUAAUUGGAUUUUUUAUAAAUAGUCAGGUAGUAGUCAUAUUAAAGGACUUAAUGUAUCAGAAUGGCUGCGAAGCUAAAGUGGAUGUGGUGUUCAUUUCGGAACCAUACCAACAACAGGCACAUACGGGUACAACGAUGACAAAGGGGAUGCUUCCCUAUGAAUUACAUUAUUUCAAGAGAAGCAGGAUAGUACCUUAUUUAGAGGAAAGGGAAUCGUGAAGAUCAAGGUAAACGAUAGAUACUGCAUAGGCGGCUAUUGUUCCCCAAAUGUCAAUAUAGAGCAAUUCAAUGCUUAUUUACAUGAAUUGGACUAUAUGAUCAGGAUAAAUAAGAGGGACCUUCCUACGAUGAUAAUCGCCGGGGAUUUUUGUGGUAACGCUACCGCAUUAAAACCGAUCGUAAGGGAACAUACCUGUUGGAUAUGCUAGGCAAAAAUAGGAUCGUAGCUAUUAGACUAAAUAAGAGGUAUAUAUUUUACAAGAAUAGACAAAAUAGCUUCCUUGACGUAAUUAGUACGGACAGUGGAUUGGCAAGGAAAUACAAGGGUGGUAAAAUACGUAACGUAUGGUCAGAGGUUAUUCAUACUUAUGUUUUACAUGAAUUAAAACUACUAAGACGGGACGUAAUGUUAAAUAUUUUAAAUACUCUAAGAAGAAAAUGGAUAUGAAUAAUUUAAUUUAAAAAUUUGACCUUAAUUGCGAUAACUUAUUUAUGCAUAAUUUUGAAGACGAAGAGGCAUAUGGUGAGCGCUUCUAGGCUACUAUAGAAGCGUAAUGUGUCUCCGAAUUAAAGAAAAUUUAUCCUCCUAUAGGAAGAAAGUAUAGAAAUUACUGUUGGUGUGAAAAGCUAAAAAUGCUUACAGCGGAGGUGUUUAAGAAAAGAGGGGAAACUCAAAGAGCCAAAGCAAGAGCAUUAUAGUUCGCGGAUCUAUUGAUCCAGGAAUUUAAAAUUAGAAGGUAUGGUCUAGCGAGAAAAUGUCGCGAAAAUAAAGAAAAAGGGUGAAAGGGGUUUUGCGUCACGUUGAACAGGGGGAGGCCUUAUCGGGCUAUUAUGUCCAAGAUAGUCCGAAAAAUCCAAACAGACGGCCUCCACGUUAACAAGGUCUAACAAAUUAUCCAUAAACUCUUUCAAACCAGGCUAACUGAACGAAUAAGAAGAACAGAUGAGGGUUAUAAUGACGACGACGACGAAUGUGAUCUAAUAAUUACAGAGGACGAUCUAUUAGAAGCGAGUAGAAAGAUUAAUCCGAAUAAAGCGGCGGGAGUGGACGGGGUACUGUGGAUAGAAGAUAAAUUAAUAGCAGAAAGAAGAACGGAAAAACUGCAAAGAGUAUUCAAUGAGGUUAAUAGAAGUGAAAAGAUACCAGCGAUAUGGAAGACGGCUAUGGUGUUUCUCAUUCCGAAUCCAGGAAAAGAUCCUACAUACCAGUAUUCAGUAAAGUCUGGGGUUACACGUUUAAGACUCUAAUCAAGAAGAUCUCGACACCUUCCAUAUAAAUCAAUAGGGAUUCAGGAAAAAGAAGAGUACGGUCGACACUUCGUGCCGGGUCGACGACCUCGCGGAAACCUGUGAGAGGAAAAACAUGAUAUGCGUAAUCGCAGAGAUCGAUAUCAAAAACACGUUUAAUACUCCUGUUGGAAUAAGAUCCUCCAAGAGGCAGAAGAAAGAAAAAUGCCCCGAAGACUCCGGAUACUUCUUAGUAGCUAUCUGCAGGAUAGGUAAAUAAUUAUAUACAAUAUAAAUGGAAUAGUAAAAAGAAAUGUUUUUACUGGAGUAAAUUUUUUGAUCCACGUUAAUUUAAGCUUUUUUCUUUCGUUUCACGAGUACUAUGACCUAAAAUUUUUAACAAUAUUUCCUAGCACCCUGUAUAUAAGCCUACGAUCCAGUUCGGCCCCCCCUCACAUUCUCAAUAAAUUUAGUUUUUAUAUUUCAGUGUAGACAUGUAAAGACUGGAUCUGCAAGGGUAGAACAGUAGAAGAAAUCUGGAAUGAAAUCAAAAAGAAGAUAAACGAAGCAAUGCCAAAGAAGAAAAUGAAGAUAAGGAAAUGGUGCAUGGGAGAGAAAGCAUAGUACUACAAGGAGUGAAAAGAAAGGAAAAGAGAGAUGAGAAGGAAGAUGACAAACUUUACGGAAGGAAAAUGCAGCAGAGAAGCGCUCAUAGAGGAAAAAAAGACAUUCAAACAGUAGUGCAAACAAAGAAAGGAAAGACGCGAAGAAGAAAUGGAGAAAAUAAAGAAGAUCAAAACAGAACAAGAAGCGUGGAAAUACAUAAAUAAAUAUAGAAGAAGAAGAGAAGGUAUAGAUGAGGAUAUAAGCGAAGAAGAGUGAAAAAAUCACUUUAUGGAAAUUUUAGAAGGGACAGAGCACAAAGAGGGCAGAAAAAUGGAGGGGCAUAGAGCGGAAGAGAAAAUAGUGGAGGAAAGAGAAGAUAAUGUAGAGAAGGAAGAGGUGAUCUACCAGCUAAGAAACUUGAAGGAAAAGAAAGCAAUGGUGGAAGACAGGUUAGAAAAUGAGGUAUGGAAGUAUGCACCGAAGAAUGUGGGGGAGGUAUUAUGGGAGUUGUUAAGGAAAAUAUGAAAUGGGGAGGGGAUACCAGAAGAUUGGAAAAAAGGAGUAAUAUGUCCGAUAUAUAAGAAGGGGGACAAGAGAGUAGAAGAGUUACAAAGGAGUAACAUUAAUGGAUACAGCAUACAGAUUGCA